AAAUGGGGACACCCAGCUCCAUGAGCAUCCACAUUUCCCACCAGGCAGUUUGGUGAUGCAAGAAUGACUGACUAGCUGUUUUACAUCCUUUCCUACCAUCAAGACUGAUGAGGAAAACACCUCACAGAGCACUGCAAAGUCAUGCCUUCCCAUGGUUGCUGUGAGGUACUUAAAGGCAUCAUGGAGACCAUGCUGGCCUGGGAUGGUAGCGGAUGUAAGAGGCUGAAGAGCGGUGUAUACCUGAGUCCUCGCUGGAGUUCUAGUGCACCUACGCAAGGGAUGUCAUUGUCUAGGAGGGUGGCUGAGACAAGGGAGUAGCAACAAGGUUUAUAAGGAGCAGGUGAGCCGAGCAUGUCCUGGGGCAGUUCUGAAGGUCCAGGCACAACAGAAGAAACUUAGGCAGCUCUAUGCACAGUGGGUGACCAAACCAUGGUGACUUUUGCUUCUACCAUAGAAGUCCUGCUCUCCAUGUUGCCUGAAAUCUAGCAGAACUGAAAUGCAAAGCUAUGGAUUUACGAAGAACCACUUAAAGCAAGUUUUAGGGGCUGGGAAGAUGGUUCAAUAAGCCAAGUGCCUCUCAUGCAAGCAUGGGGACAGGAAUUUGGAUUCCCAGAGCUCAAGUAAAAGGCCAAGCAUGUCAGUGUACCCUUGUAAAUCCUGUACUGAGGGGAAAGGGAGGAGAGAGGUGGAUAGAUGAAGCCCAUUGGCUAGCAGCCUAGCCAAAUCAAGGAGCUCCAGGUUCAGUGGGAAACCUUGUCUCAAAGAAUAAAAGACGCGGAGUUACUGAAGAUUGACCCAAGGUCAAUCUCUGACCUCGAUGGGCACACACACGGGCCCAUGUACCCACACUAACACACACAACACACACAUAUUUAUGGGUCAAAAAUAUCAGUUACUUAUUGCCACACAAAAAAUUACUCCGAGAAUUACUUAAUAAAAUAUCAGCAUUUACCAUUUCACACUAUCUCAAGGUCAGAAAUUUGGGAGCAGUUUGACUGGGUUGAGUCAUCUCCAGGGGCCCAAGAAUUACAGUCAGAGCUAUGGAACCUGGACCAGCUGACUAGGGCCACUGUCACCCGAAGGCUCCAAUGAGCUACAGUGUCUACUUUCAGGAUGGCUAACUCACAUGGCUGUCAAGUUGGUGCAGGCUAGUGUGGCUGUUGGGUGCCACACACUCUAUACACAGGCCCUCACACUCCAGAGACAACCCUCUCCCAGAACAAGUGAUCUGACCGAGCAUGCUAGAAUCCAUCAUGUUGUUUACAAUCUAGCCUUGGAAUGAGUCAUAGUCCAUCCUUUCUGCAAUGCUCUAUUGUUUACACAAAAUUCAUCUCCCUGUUUGGCACAGAAGGACAGUCAAGAUGUGAGGGUCUUGGAGGACAAUGGCCACACCAUGGAAAAUGCAAAAAUACAGAUAACUCAUUCUUGGAAAAGAGGACUAACUGAAAUCCUCAGAAGUCCAGUCUUGCUCAAGUUUCAAACCCUCCAUCCUGCAUUUCAACCAGAAGUACAGCAGAAAUGAUUGAACUCCACCUUCCUUUGGCUCUCGGCCACUGCUACCCACAAAGCAUCGGAGUGUGCUCCAAGGCAUGAAAUAAAAGGAAGAACACCUCUUAUAAAAAGAAAAUGGCUCUGAUGAGUGGAAGAUGUGAAUAUUAACAAGAAUGAGAUUUGUUCACAGCUAUGAUGUAAGUAAUGGAC